rnacentral:rRNA from 1 species
AGCGAACGCUGGCGGCAUGCUUAAUACAUGCAAGUCGCACGGCCGGGGGCAACUCCGGCAGUGGCGGACGGGUGAGUAACGCGUAGGAAUCUAUCCAUGGGUGGGGGAUAACGCCGGGAAACUGGUGCUAAUACCGCAUGACACCUGAGGGUCAAAGGCGCAAGUCGCCUGUGGAGGAGCCUGCGUCCGAUUAGCUUGUUGGUGGGGUAAUGGCCUACCAAGGCGAUGAUCGGUAGCUGGUCUGAGAGGAUGAUCAGCCACACUGGGACU